AUUCCAAUAACCAUAAAAUAAAAUAAAUUAUCCAUUGAUAUCGUCUGUUGCUAUAUUGUAUUUGUCUAAAAUUUCCAUCCUGUUUGAUGAAAUUAAAGGAAAAUGUUUCAUUACUUUGUAAUGAAACAUCUAAUGUGUAUAAAAACUAAGGAGUGUCUGCAUAGGGUGAAAAGGAAAGGCUGUUUUCCAAGUCUAACUCUAACUAAAUAAAGUUGAGCCCAUGUUUGAAUAGUUGUAUACUAUAGCCCAACCCAUCAGAGUAUGCGUGUAUUAUGUUUUACCUAGCAACUUUGUAUGGAUCCUCAUUCCUGGACUUUGGGACGAGCUUUAUAGGACCCAUUUCAUUGAGUCUCACAAAGGUUCGGAUUGGAUUUAGGAGAUUCAUCAAAAUACCUCAGGCUUUCAGAUAAUCCGGGCUGUUAAUUCUUGACCGUCCCAAUCACAAUCGUCUCGUGGCCAAUCUCUCAAGGGUAGCUUAACCAUGGCUGGAGGAGGAGCAGGUAUUCUGUGGGCAAUCGUCUGGUUCAUCAUUCUCAUCUUCUUUGGUUGGCCCAUCGGUUUCUUUGUAGCCUGGUUGUGGGUAUGCAUCAUGCCGUUUGGUGUGUGUAUUAGCUUCUGCAAAGACAUCAUGGAACUCUUACAAAAACUGGUAAUGCUACCUCAAACCUGUGCGGAGGGGAUGGUUGGCCAGAAACCAGUGUGCGGUUGAAACUAUAUGUCAUCAUCCGAGAUGCGCUCAUGAGAGUCAUAGUAUGCAAAAAGACUUUGGAAUUCAACAUCGUCCAGGCUUUCACCCUAGUUGCAGCCAUUUGAUUUGCCCUCAAGAUUCCUUCGGCAAAUUACUCCAAUGCCGAUAAUUUUGUUUUGAUAUUAAUAUUUUUACAAUUGUAGUCAUUUUGAUUAUAUUGAUUAAUUGUAAUGAAUAAUAAUUCAUGAAAAUGCUGAUUUAGUUGGGGGAGUGAAUAGUUUAAUGUCCUCAUUUUCCUCACACAUUCCCUAGAGAAUGUUAUACUGUAAUCAACUAUUGGCACUUAAAAAUAUCAUCUAAAGAGCCUUAAAACGACUUAAAGCUCUGAAGAGGGUCUUUAAAAUCCUUACUGAUUCACCGAUGAAACUUUUAAUGGAAUUUUUAAAUAUUAAGAAUUCUUUACAGAACCAUUAAUUUGUUUUUUGAAGGUUGUAUCUGUUGUAUGCAUAUAUUCCUGCUGAUAUAAUAUUGUAUUCAUUCCCGUCACAUGAUACUUCUCAAAUCUAUUUGUAUUUUUUAAACACCAGAGCCGGUCCAUUGCUUAUUAUAUUUCCUGUCUGAAUAUGUUUUCCUGUUUUCAAUCAUAAAUUCAUAAUGAACUUUAUCGUCAUAUCAGUGCGUGGAUCAUAAUUAAUUGAUUUUCUAGAUGUCAUAAAGUAAAUUUAUUCUCAUUAAUAUUCGUAAUGAAAAUGUGAGGAAAAUCAGACAGUGCACAUAUUUAUGUACACUGUUAUUAUACUUAGUAUAUAAGAUCAUUAUUGACAUCAAAAUGGUCUGCCUUCUUUUAUAUAGUCUUACCUCAUUUUGUAAAUUUUUGAUAAUUAUGUUUGUUUCCAUCUCAUAUAGUUCGCCUAAGUUAUAUUAUGUUGUAUAGUAUACAUAAUAAGUUUUUAUUCGUGAUUUCAUGUAUAGAUAUCAUUGUAGGUAUACAGUACACGUGGUUCAUACCAAAUAUUUUGUUUUGGGGGUCUAUUUCAAAGUCAAUAAUAUGACUAGAAAAAGAGAAUGACAAAAAACAAAAGCUAAAAGAUGAAUGCUUAAAUAUAUAGCCUACAGAUACAUUUCACUGCUUUUAUAUAGGCCCUAUUUUAGUUCAGGUAUUUUCAUUUUCUUUAAUUUCUUUCACAUCAAACGGGUGAAUUUUAGGGUCUCACACUGGUAUCAGGUACUAGUAUUGGUUUCAGUCUGUAAUACAACAGUUUGUCGAUAACAUGCAGUUUGUAUCAGUGGAAUCCUAUCGCCAUUGUAGGUUCUGCUGGUAUUUUCAUUAUUAUUAUUACUAUUUUUUUUUUUUGGGGGGGGGGGUUCAGUUGGCAUGGUUGGAACAUUAUUAUGUUCUGAAUUAUACACACAGGUCAAAAUAUGUAUUGUAUUAUACACAUAUAAUCAUGUUCAUAUAUAAACUGACAUGUUACCAUUCCUCUUCACGUGUUUCAGACGUUUUAUCGCCAAUGCCAAUGGAACGUGUUAUCAAUCGCCAGUGGUGAUAGAUCGAACGUUAGUGUAGUCUGUAAGCACAGUCUCAUAUUAGACACUUUAACAAAGUAUGCCGUGUCUAGGAUGGAGACUAGACCCCAAACGCUCUGUCUGUAUAGAAGCAAACACCUUUCAUGGGUGAAUAUGUAGUCUCCUACUUCACACCCUGUAUUAUCGUGCGAAGACCAUGCAAGGGUAUGUACCUGUAUAGACUACGAUGAAUUAAUGGUCACUGAUCACUAUUGGUAACCGUGAGUGGUGAUAGUGUUUGAAACUGACUGCCCUCUAUCGCAUGAAAUAAAUUAUGGUGUACGAUAUGUUUCAAUUUGUUAAUAUCAUGAUUUUGAAUAAAAUGAUUAUUGAUUUGAAAGUUA